AUGGCUGUCCUGGUGCUGCUCCUCUGCCUGGUGACCUUUCCAAGCUGUGCCCUGUCCCAGGUGCAGCUGAAGGAGUCAGGAACUGGCCUGGUGCAGCCCUCACAGACCCUGUCUCUCACCUGCACUGUCUCUGGGUUCUCAUUAACUGACAACAGUGUACACUGGGUCCGCCAGCCUCCAGGAAAGGGUCUGGAGUGGGUGGGAGCAAUGUGGUAUCAUGGAGGCACAGAGUAUAAUUCAGCUCUCAAAUCCCGAGUCAGCAUCAGCAGGGACACCUCCAAGAGCCAAGUUUUCUUAAAACUGAACAAUCUGCAAACUGAGGACACAGCCACUUAUUACUGUACCAGAGACACAGUGAGGGAGCUCCAGCGUGAGCCUGCACAGAAACCUCCCUACAGAGACACUCAGGACCAGCAGGGGGCACUGAUGACCAACAGAGGCUUCCCAGGAGGAGUAGGAGUCACUGCAGAAUCUAGGAAGUUCUGGACUAUUCAGCAUGAGCACAUGUUUUAA